CACCCCGUUUUGGGAGCCCUGGUACAGGCAGGCCGGGAACUCCCUUCUUUACACCCGGGGCUUACGUGGCACAGCGCCCGUAGCCCCAGCCCGUUUUGGGAACCUUGGUACAGGCAGGCCGGGGAUUCCCUCUUUUAUUCCUCGCGCAGAUGGAUCUGCAACCGCCAACGGCCAUCGGCCUUCUCUCCCUUCCACUCCCCGCGC
rnacentral:ncRNA from 1 species